ACGUAGGGGGCGAGCGUUGUCCGAAGUUACUGGGCGUAAAGCGCGCGUAGGCGGCAUGUUAAGUCAGCUGUGAAAUCUCCGAGCUUAACUCGGAACGGUCAGCUGAUACUGAUGUGCUAGAGUGCGGAAGGGGCAAUCGGAAUUCUUGGUGUAGCGGUGAAAUGCGUAGAUAUCAAGAGGAACACCUGAGGUGAAGACGGGUUGCUGGGCCGACACUGACGCUGAGUGCGCGAAAGCCAGGGGAGCAAACGGGA
rnacentral:rRNA from 1 species